UCACUCCUAAUCGUCGUUGCGCAACGGAUAUUUCCAGAGAAGAGAUCCCUUCAGACUCUAAAAAUGGCUGUCUUCGGAUCACGAGCAAAUAUACAGGGAACAUUAAACUGUUUGUUCAAACGAACAGGAGUUGCAGAGUGUUUGGGUGCUCAGAAAUUGGUUGCCAGGUUCUCUUCACCUUCUCAAGAGUAUGACAAGCCAGCAAUUAAGACUGCAAUUCCAGGACCACGCUCACAAGAGUUGAUGGCAGAGCUGUCUCACGUACAGCUGACAAAGGGAAUGUCAUAUUUUGUUGAUUUUGAGAAGAGUUUAGGAAACUUCAUUGUUGAUGCUGAUGGCAAUGUUUUGUUAGAUGUUUUUCAACAAAUUGCUUCUGUUCCAUUAGGUUAUAAUCACCCUGCUUUGGUUAAAGCUUUACAAGAUCCAAAGAAUGUGUCAUCCUUUGUCAACCGAGCAGCCUUGGGUCUCUAUCCACCUGUCUCCUUUCUUCAAGAUUUAAAAGAUGCACUGCUAAGUGUAGCCCCACCUGGACUUCCUGAGGUAACUACAAUGGCUUGUGGAACGUGCUCAGUAGAGAAUGCCUUUAAAUUGGCUUUUAUGCAUUAUAAGGCUAAACAGCGUGGUAAUCCUGAACCCUCCUUGGAGGACCUAACAAGCUGCAUGAGAUCUCAGGCUCCUGGCACACCACCGUUAACAAUUCUUGGUUUUGAGAGAGGAUUCCAUGGUCGAACUCUGGGUGCUCUUUCUACCACUCGAUCAAAAGCAAUGGCAAGAGUAGACAUUCCUACAUUUGAUUGGCCGAAGGCGCCAUUUCCUGUCCUGAAAUAUCCACUUGCAAACUAUGAAAGAGAAAACAAAGCAGAAGAGGAAAAAUGUUUGGAAAUGGCUCGUCAAGCUAUCUUUGAUAGUAAUAAUGCAGGCAAACCAGUUGCAGGAAUAAUCGUCGAACCCAUUCAAGCUGAAGGCGAUUUUCUUUCAGGAGAUAACCAUGCAAGUGCUGACUUCUUUAAAUCUCUUCAGAGGAUCGCUAAAGAGUUUGAUGCUCUGUUUAUCGUUGAUGAAGUACAGACAGGAUGUGGAAGUACCGGUAAAUUCUGGGCACACGAACACUGGGGUCUUAUUGAACCUCCUGACAUAGUGACCUUCUCAAAAAAGAUGCUAAUCGGUGGGUUCUACCAUAGGCCAGAAAUACGAGUUCAGCAGCCACUACGUAUCUUUAACACGUGGAUGGGGGAUCAAAGCAAACUUGUUCUUUUAAAAGAAGUUGUUAAAGUGGUGCGAGAGGAAAGCUUACUUCAAAGAGUACAAGAAAGUGGCAGGGUUUUGUUGAAUGGCUUGGAACACAUGCAGGGUAAAGUUAACCGAGUUCGUGUCAGCUGAUCGUAAAUGACUGAGGAAUUGGGAUCAAAUCCAAGGAAACCGGAUCUUGUUCGAGUUUGCGGGGUUCUACCGUAGAUCACAGAUGACGUCAAAAGGUGGUAGAACAAAAAGGAAAAAUAUCCGGGAUUGUUUUCUCGUGCCCGUGGUGUAGGAACAUUCUGUGCAAUCGAUUGCGCCGAUGCAGAUACUAGAGCAGAAUUUCUUUCAAAGAUGAAAGCCAAUG
rnacentral:misc_RNA from 1 species